rnacentral:rRNA from 1 species
CCGGCGAGUGGCGAACGGGUGAGUAAUAUAUCGGAACGUACCGAGUAAUGGGGGAUAACCAAUCGAAAGAUUGGCUAAUACCGCAUACGUCCUGAGGGAGAAAGCGGGGGAUCGCAAGACCUCGCGUUAUUCGAGCGGCCGAUAACUGAUUAGCUAGUUGGUGGGGUAAAGGCCUACCAAGGCGACGAUCAGUAGCGGGUCUGAGAGGACGAUCCGCCACACUGGGACUGAGACACGGCCCAG